rnacentral:rRNA from 1 species
UGAGGAAUAUUGGUCAAUGGGCGAGAGCCUGAACCAGCCAAGUAGCGUGCAGGAUGACGGCCCUAUGGGUUGUAAACUGCUUUUAUGUGGGGAUAAAGUGCGUGACGUGUCAUGCAUUGCAGGUACCACAUGAAUAAGGACCGGCUAAUUCCGUGCCAGCAGCCGCGGUAAUACGGAAGGUCCGGGCGUUAUCCGGAUUUAUUGGGUUUAAAGGGAGCGUAGGCUGUCUAUUAAGCGUGUUGUGAAAUUUACCGGCUCAACCGGUGGCUUGCAGCGCGAACUGGUCGACUUGAGUAUGCAGGAAGUAGGCGGAAUUCAUGGUGUAGAGGUGAAAUGCUUAGAUAUCAUGACGAACUCCGAUUGCGCAGGCAGCUUACUGUGGCAUAACUGACGCUGAUGCUCGAAAGUGCGGGUAUCAAACAGG